AUAUCUUCAUGUCUGAUUAGCUUCCUCAAGAGCCUCAAGGGAGGCAACUUUUUAAGUGCCUUAUGGAAAUCCAUAUAGAUGGUAUCAACCAGAUCUGUGCUGCCAACCUUUUAUUGACAUGUCAGAGGAUUUUGGUAGGCUCCCUUCCGGUACUGAAAGACAACAAAUAGAUCACCCCAAAGCCUUCUCUUCUCCAGGCGGAAUAAAACAAAUUCUCUCAGGCGGAAUAAAACAAAUUCUCUCAGCCUUUUCUUGUACGAGGUCCUCCAUCCCUCUAGCCAUCUUGGUGGCCCUCUUCUGGACUCGCUCCAACAGCUCCAUGUCUUUCUUGUGCUGAGGACCCCAGAGCUGGAUGCAGUACUCCAGGUCUUGAAAAAUUCAAGUUGAAAAAUGAGUUUACAGAGAGAAUUGGCUUUCCUACCUCUAUUUAAACUGUUUAUUUUUAGCUAAAUAUUACUGAAUAUGGAAGCAGUCCAGUUUACAUCCUGGUUUGAUUUCCUGUUUACAUGAGCCAGUCUGGUGUCACCAUCGUAUUUCUGGACCACUCUGGAAGCCUGUGUGCAGCCUUCCUUCCACCUCCAAGGAGAGCUGCCCUACACAAUGGAACUAUUGUUGUGCUCUCUGAUAAUGAAAUAUGAAUAUUGCUGGGCACAGAAUAUGCUGGGCUUAUGUCACUUUGCUAUAGUGCACCGAUAUAACAGCAAACCUUUCACUGAAAUGUGGGGAGAAAACUCACAUUAGAGACUAAAGUCGUAACUGUGCGCAUAUUUUUUUGAAGUUAACAUAUAAACAGAUCUGGUAAUAUAUAGAAUGGCUCCCUGUAGUAUAGUUUUUGUGGGCUUGAGGGGGAGGGGUGUCUUUAGUUUUAAUUUUUUCCCCUUCCCAUCUGGUUUUGCUUCCCAAACUAUAAAGCUUACUAUUUCCCUUAAGAGACUAUUAAAUUUUUUUUUUGAAAUCUACAAAAUAAUUGAGAAUCUGAACUGGCCAUUAUGACUACUAAUGGUCAUAACAGCAGGCAUUUCACAGGAGGGACUCAGGGAGCUCAGUUUCACCAGUCCAUCUAAUGCAUUCACAGUCUCUGUCCUUGUUAUUAUUUUAAUAGGAUUUUCAGAAUGAAAUGGAAUAGUAUGUGCAUCCAGAGAAUGCUCAUGCCAGGUAAAAGAGCAAUGUUUCAUAAUUUUGGCUUAGAUUCCAUCUAGCAAUUUUUUUUGGUUUAUUUUCAGUAAAGAUGCAUUUUAGAGAAGUGGGAAUACUUUAAUGUGUACUGAUGAAUGUAAAACUAGAGACAAACAAGUCUAAGAUUAGUUUAAGGAUGAUAUAAAUACUGCUAUGCUAAUGGAUAAGAACUCAGAAAUAUAACUGGUUAAUUCUUUUGUUCUAGAGGCUGAUUCACAAUAACUGAACAAGAUAAAUUGAGCAAAGCUCAGUCAGUUUAUAGUAACCUUUUGUAUUCAUCGAUGCAAAAUUUCAUUCCAUGAUUAUUUUUUUUUACAAGGCAUACUGAAAACUUCAUUUUUAUUCAAUUACCCAUUUUAAAAUCACAUUUUGAAUGAGUUCCUUCCAUUACAACAUCGAGAUUCUUCCCUGGUGUCUUUUAAACACACCAGUUUUUUAACGAUGCUCUUUCUGAUGCUUGCUGGAGAGCACAGCUACCUAGCAUGGCCUGUGCCCAGGCUUACCUUCUGCUGCUAUUUCCAUUUCAGAUGUGCUGCGGCUGUGCCUGGGGAAUACCCUCGAGGAAAGCUUUGUCCCAGGGAGGCAAAUGAGGUUCCCCGGGGCAGCCCACCGCAGUGCUGCAGCUGGCCCCCGGCAACCCACGCCCCGCACCCUGGCUCAGGGGCACUGCCGAGGCACAAGGCAGGGCUCGGAAAUUCUCUGUCCAAUUUUAAAAAGGUCAAAAGAUACAGAUGGAAAAUGGCUCCCGAUUUUCCUGGUCCAAUAGCACAAAGCAGGUCUCCUCCUGCAUUAAUAGGGACAUGUAUAAAUAACAGUCAUGGGGUCUCUCAGGGAUGGGCUUACAGUGAGGCUAUCAAACUGCAACUAUCAAAAGGGGACACAGCAAUUCAUUUGAAACCCAUAUGCUAUUUAUUUUAAUACUGUUAAAAACUUGCAGAAAAUCUUGAUUGUACUCUGAAACUUCUGUCUUUCCACUCACAAAAAUCAAAGUACCUCAGUCAACAAUCUUUAAUUAAAUGAAAUUUUAAAAAAGAAAAAAAAAAAAAAGCAAAAACAUUUUAAGUCUGGACAAUAUUUCACAGCUAUUUUCUUUUUAAAGCUGGUCACAGUAGAAUAUUAUGCUGAUGAUCAUAAUGCACUCUCUUAUUUUUGUUUCAGUUGAAUGCUAGCAAUACCUAAAAACCACUUUAAACCUCAAUGCUGCUUCAGUAAGUGCUGCAGCAAGAACAAAAUUUCUUCUACGUACAGAAACUAUGUUUGUGUGGGGUAGGGAGGGUGUAUGUUACACUUAGAUAGGAUUCCAAAAUAUGCCCUGAUCAUGAGACUCAGUAAUUAUGGUCUAAAAUAUUUAUUACCUGCAUAAGAAAUGUCACAUAAAAACAGUUUUAGCAAUAUCACACAAUGAAUCCCAGAAGAUGGUAAAUAAAUAAAUAAAAACUACGCAAGCCAGGUAAGAUUAAAUUGUAGUAGGAGUAUUUUCAGUGGUAAUUACAGGGUCUGUCAUUGCUGAACUUAGAGUAAUAGAGGCAAAUGUCAAGAAAUUCAGCAGUCACAUGGCACUUAAUGAAUAUGAAUGGAACAUAUUAUACAGACACUGAUCAAGUCUUUAUGACUCAUUUAAAAUAAGAUUAGUUUCAGGUUUAAAUCAGAAAUUAAUUUUUAGUACACAAAGGAUACAAUGUAUCUUAUUUAGAUCUAUUGUUCACACUGCCUUUUGUUUACAAAAUUGGAAUUUUGAGAUUCCAAGGGGGUUGCUGUCUUUUAGUUUGUUACUUAUAAUCUAAGUGGUUAAAUUGUAGCUGAAGAUCAGUCAGAAAACUUGAUACAGUAUUUUUAUCCUCUUCGGAAACAAAAGUGACUAAAUCCUGAAAUGUUUUGAGGAUAAGGAUAUACAAAAAGUAUGUGAUCCUGAUAUCCCUGAAUGUUUCAUUUAACUAUUUUCAACCACCAUGAAACAUUUUGACAUUUGUGGAAAGACACAUUGCAUUUCAGUUUGUCAGAUCAAAGACAAAUGUUUCGCUUGGACUUAGUUUUUAUGUGUACCCUUGAGCUGUUCAACAGCUUCCUGGCAUUUAUACUCCAUGCUCCAGUUCUUUCAUGUGCUGAGUCCCUAACCCAAGUUGUGCUGACUUCAAUGGUAAAGACAUUUCUGCAUCUGUAAGUAUAACAGUGCAUUGUUUUUGUCGGGAAGCAGAAAAACACUGGCAAAAUUGUUUCCUGUGGAAAAUGUAACUUUUACAGAAACAGCAUUUUCCAUUGAAACACCACGUUUUUAGAAAAAUUCCAACUAACUGCGCUUACAGUAUAUUUCAGGAGUGUUAUUAUGAAAUCUAUAAAUGCUAACAUCUAUUUUUUAUCCUAAAUAAUUUUGAUAACAAAAACUUUUCAGACACCCAGGAUAGAUAAAAUUAAUUAGGCUUUCAUGUAUAGGAUAUAUUUAUAAUAAUUUAAUUAUAAUUUCAGUAUUACAUUAAUAAUUAUACAACAACAUAAAGUGUUAUGGUGCAUUGUGGUUAUUUUGCAUUACUCCAAAUACUGAAAGUCCAUGAGUCUGCAGAUUAUUGCAAAGGGGACAAGAAACGGGUGACAAAGUGAGCAAUCAUUGUAGUGUAGUCACACAAAAUUACAAGGAAUACACAAGGUCUUGUUUUGCUGGACAAAGGAGGUACUAAAACUGUCAGAGGUGAUGCCCUUACUCAGAGCUGUGGGGUUCUUUCACCCUUCCCUUCCACCCCAGUUCUUUGAUUUCUUUCUGAAGCAUACUUUUGGGUAGAUAUGUGCUGGGUUUUGAGCACAGCUCCAAGCCACAGAGGCACUGAAGCCAAACAGCUUUGAUGUGAUCCUGUGCUCCAUCUCAGCUUGAGGGAAGCCUCUGCAGGUUGGUAAAUUGGGAUGUGUGGUGGUCCCACCCAUUGACUGGGCAGCACCAUAGUGUGCAGGCCAGGAAGCACAUUUACCAAUUUACACCAUGUUUACCUUGUGGGAACAUGAGAAGCCACCUUGGAAAAGAAAAAAGCGUCUGUCUUCCUUCGCUGCUGCAGCUGGAGCAGUGCAUGUGAAGGCAAAAUGAGAUUUUAGCAGAGAAGCUCUAGGUGAUUUACGUGCUUUUCUUCAAGGACCAUACUUAUAUGGAUUGUUAAGACAAAACUAGAAUUUUCUUCUACAGAUUUGGGUUGAAACUUCCUGUUCUAUCUCUAGGGUGAGUAAUUCAUGCUGUGUGUCUGUUUUUCCACCCCUCUCCUACAGCUACACAAAUAGGCACUCAUGCACACAUGCUGCAUUGGUCAGAUGUCUGGGGUUAACCCAGAUAGUGUGAGCCUCAGAUCAAAAGCCUGAGUUAAAAUGCUAUUUUUGCUGCUGAGGCUUGAGGUGUCUGUUCACGGCACAGACAUGAGACAACCUCACGCACCAUUUGCAGGGCUGUGGGAGAUAAAACUGGUGCUAUUUGGUUUGCAGCUCACCCAGGUACAGGUACACAUGCAGGCAGACAAUGCCAGGCACAGUUCUCCACUCUGUUCCUAAUUUCUUUGUUUCAUAUUUACCUUUGUUCUGGCUAGGGACACGUGCCUAGUUUGGGGGCUUUUUUUGUCUUCUGAGACUGAUAACCUUCUUAUCAGUUAAACCAAAUGAAAGGCCACACUUACACUUGCUGGUUUAAACAGUUUGUUACAGUUGAGUUGCAGAUUGUGAAUGAGGCCAGACUAACAACUGGGUCCUUUGCAUGUCAAGCAAUAACGAUAUCAGGUUCAUCAUAUUUCUUUUCCUCCCCUAUAAUUCAGUUGUGUGAAUAAAUGAAGAAAACCAUAUAACAUUCAAGCCUUCCUUAAUUGGUUGUAUAGUCUCAAGUAUCACUUUUCUGAAGUUACCUGCCAUCUGGCACUGGGAGCAGGUUUGCCAGGACAACUGCUGAGCAAACAGCAACCUUCCUAAGCAGAUGGAAAUGCAGCAAGGUGGCAUAGAAAACCUAUCUGAUGAUCCAAGCCCCAGCUAUCCUUGUGGUCUCAGGUCUCUCUCUCUCUCUCUCUCUAAUUUCUGUCUUUCCCUUUAAAACUGCUUUUUGGUAUUGUAGAAAAUGAGAUUUGGAAAAGGAGAAGGAAGAGAGGAAUUAAAACAAGAAAUGCAGAUAUCCUUGUGACUCUUCAGGGCUAAUUGAUUAGCUUAUUAUGGAAGCAGGUGCAAAGGACAUGGAGGGGAGACUGAGCACUGACAGUUGAUGUGUUUGUGUGGAGUGCUCACUAAAGGCUUCACUAAAACUCAGCCCAGAACUGAUGCCCAUUCCCAGCUCCUUCAUAUGUCCUUAUGUCUCUCUCAUGUAUAUUAGCUGAUGAACAUCAACAGCUAAAAACCCCGACCUCUUAAUAAGAUGCUGAAGUCUGCAGCAAGUCAUGUGAAAAUGCUAAGCCUCUCAAUUUUCCAGCCUACCCCUCUGCCAGAGAUGUCUGUGUCUGUAGCAGAUGCAGAAGAAGGAAAUCUGUGUCUAUGCAUCAGCAGCUACAGUUCAGGUUCCUACGCCUUAUCUCAAAACUUGCCUCCACUGGGAAGGUGGUGAGUUAGUGGGCAAUCAGUUGGGCUGAGGGUGGUAACGUGCCAUUGUACUAAUUCUGGUGUGGAAGGGGUAUUCUUUGGCAGACUUCUAAAACAUUUAUGUCUUACAACAACACAGGAGGAUCAAGCUUUUCGUAGGUUUCUUUUGGUAACAAAGCCAGAUGAAUGGAAUGAUCAGAGAAGAAAACACACCAAUUUUCCAUGGAGUUAUAUUGCAGCUGAGUGAGUUCCCUGAGCCGGUUGGAUGUCCUGUCUGGCAGGGGUUGUGCUGGUGGCACUGCCAGCGCCACACGCUCCUGGGGCAGGGAAAGAGCGGCAGGGAAUGGGCAAUUGGGCAGGAGUGACUUAGCCGGGUUAUGCUUCUCAGCUUGGACCUUUUUCAUCUGCCUGUCUGACAAACUUCUACUGGAUCAACAGCAUCACUCAAGGCCGUAUAGAUCUUCAUCAAUAAAACUACAUUUUAAACGACUUCACUUGGAAUAUUUAUUAAGCUAUAAGGCUCUACAUACAUACACCUCUACAAUUGCUUUACUUUGCUUAAGCAGGAGUUAUAAAUGUCAUCAGGACACCAAACAUGAAGGAGUUUAACUUUUCCAUAUAACAUUAGGAACGAAAUAGCACAUUGCCAAAUCCUCCAACACCACUUAAGGCAGAGAUUUUAAGCAAUGUUUAAAAUAGGAAGGCGCGGGGUGCCUGAGCCCUCUCGCUGCGGUGCCGGGGGGGUGCAGGACCCUGUCCCCGCCCGGCACCGGCCCGGAGCCCGCAGACACCUGCCGGCGGCACUUCCAUCAAUCAGCUUCGCCUGCGGACAUUUUUAUUAAGUAGAUCUAUCACCCAUCCAUCUAUCUACCUAUCUAUCCGCAUACACAUACAUAUAUAUUUAUAUAUAUACACACACACACACACAUAUACUUCAUAAGAGUAUACACUUAUAUAAUAUAUAUAGAUAAGUAUGAAAAAUUAAUAGGAACACACACAUAUAUAUACACACUUAAUAUACAUACAUG